CUUUAUUCAUCUAUCUAUCUAGCUAGCUAGCUAGCUAGCUACCCGACAAGUUAACACCAGGAUAGCGAUAGCUGCUGCGUUUUACCCUUUGCACUGACUUGCUUGAUAUUUGCACGGAAAUCAAACUUAAACUGUAUUUAUCUUAUUUUAUUUAUACAAUUACGCAUAAUUUAUUAAUAUUGUAACGAAGUUAAACUUGAGGCGGCAUCGUACAACACAGUAGUCACAUGACGCGUCAUUCCCUACAGGAUGCACUGCGGGGAAAAUAAACAUUUCAUCAUGAAGGCUCCUUAUGUAUUUUUAGCCAACUUAGUCAUUUUGAUAGUAGGCUAAUAUAGCUAAUAUAGAUACAUACAGCAUGCGUUGCCUUCAUUAGAAGGCUUUUAUAAGGCUUUUAAUUUUUGCUGCACACCAAUCAUUCAAGGCGUCCCCCAAGGUUCAGUCCUCGUGCAUUUACUGAGUACAGGCGAUCUGCAGCAGCUCCACCUUGGAUGCUCCAUACUUGGGAUUCAAAGGAUUGACGAUGUGGUUGUUCCAGCGGAAUCUCACCUCUGUCACUUCGCCCACGUCUACCUCGGCAUCAACACGCACUUCAUACGUCUUUCCUGGCUUCAUCAUACCCCUGAAGAGAGACAGCUUCAGCUAAUACUCAUCUGUUAUUACUGCAGUCUGAUAUUACUGGAAGUAUUACUGGGGCGUAACGACAACUUAAAGUAGGCUUGGAGUUUUGGUCCUGUGGGAUUGACUUUGACAUGAAGUAAUGUGGUAUAGUAUGUACUAUGGUAGGUAUAGUAAGAAGGUAUAGUAUGUGUGUGUAUGGUACAUGAAGUAGUGUGGUAUAUAGUAUAUGUGUGUAUGGUACACGAAGUAGUGGGGUAUAUAGUAUAUGUGUGUAUGAUAGAUAGACUUUCUUUAUUGUGUAUGGUACAUGAAGUAGUGUGGUAUAUAAUAUAUGUGUGUAUGGUACAUGAAGUAGUGGGGUAUAGUAUGUGUGUGUAUGGUACAUGAAGUAGUGUGGUAUAUAAUAUAUGUGUGUAUGGUACAUGAAGUAGUGUGAUAUAUAGUAUAUGUGUGUGUAUGGUACAUGAAGUAGUGUGAUAUAUAGUAUAUGUGUGUAUGGUACAUGAAGUAGUGUGGUAUAUAGUAUAGUAUGUGUGUAUGGUACAUGAAGUAGUGUGCUAUAUAGUAUGUGUGUGUAUGGUACAUGAAGUAGUGGGGUAUAUAGAAUGUGGGCAUGAAGUAGUGGGGUAUAGUAUGGUUUGUAUGGUAUAUGAAGUAGUGGCGUAUAGUAUGUGUGUGUAUGGUACAUGAAGUAGUGGGGUAUAGUAUGUGUGUGUAUGGUACAUGAAGUAGUGGGGUAUAGUAUGUGUGCACACAUACUAUACCCCACUACUUCAUGUACCAGUAUGUAUGUAUGUACACAUGUGUAUGGUACAUGAAGUAGUGUGCUAUAUAGUAUGUGUGUGUAUGGUACAUGAAGUAGUGUGCUAUAUAGUAUGUGUGUGUAUGGUAUAUGAAGUAGUGGGGUAUAUAGAAUGUGGGCAUGGUACAUGAAGUAGUGGGGUAUAGUAUGGUUUGUAUGGUAUAUGAAGUAGUGGCGUAUAGUAUGUGUGUGUAUGGUAUAUUGUAUGGUACAUGAAGUAGUGGGGUAUAGUAUUUGUGUGUAUGGUACAUGAAGUAGUGUGAUAUAUAGUAUGUGUGUGUAUAGUACAUGAAGUAGUGGGGUAUAGUAUGUGUGUGUAUGGUACAUGAAGUAGUGUGAUAUAUAGUAUGUGUGUGUAUGGUACAUGAAGUAGUGUGAUAUAUAGUAUGUGUGUGUAUGGUACACAAAGUAGUGGGGUAUAUAGUAUAUGUGUGUAUGAUAGAUAGACUUUCUUUAUUGUGUAUGGUACAUGAAGUAGUGUGGUAUAUAGUAUAUCUGUGUAUGGUACAUGAAGUAGUGGGGUAUAGUAUUUGUGUGUAUGGUACAUGAAGUAGUGUGAUAUAUAGUAUGUGUGUGUAUAGUACAUGAAGUAGUGGGGUAUAGUAUGUGUGUGUAUGGUACAUGAAGUAGUGUGAUAUAUAGUAUGUGUGUGUACGGUACAUGAAGUACUGUGAUAUAUAGUAUAUGUGUGUAUGGUACAUGAAGUAGUGUGAUAUAUAGUAUGUGUGUGUAUGGUACAUGAAGUAGUGGGGUAUAGUAUGUGUGUGUAUGGUACAUGAAGUAGUGUGAUAUAUAGUAUGUGUGUGUAUGGUACAUGAAGUAGUGGGGUAUAGUAUGUGUGUGUAUGGUACAUGAAGUAGUGUGCUAUAUAGUAUGUGUGUGUAUGGUAUAUGAAGUAGUGUGCUAUAUAGUAUGUGUGUGUAUGGUACAUGAAGUAGUGUGCUAUAUAGUAUGUGUGUGUAUGGUACAUGAAGUAGUGGGGUAUAUAGAAUGUGGGCAUGGUACAUGAAGUAGUGGGGUAUAGUAUGGUUUGUAUGGUAUAUGAAGUAGUGGCGUAUGGUAUAUUGUAUGGUACAUGAAGUAGUGGGGUAUAGUAUGUGCGUGUAUGGUACAUGAAGUAGUGGGGUAUAGUAUGUGUGCACACAUACUAUACCCCACUACUUCAUGUACCAGUAUGUAUGUAUGUACACAUGUGUAUGGUACAUGAAGUAGUGGGAUAUAGUAUGUGUGUAUGGUACAUGAAGUAGUGAGGUAUAGUAUGGUGUGUAUGGUACAUGAAGUAGUGAGGUACAGUAUGGUGUGUAUGGUACAUGAAGUAGUGUGGUAUAUAAUAUGGUGUGUAUGGUACAUGAAGUAGUGUGAUAUAUAGUAUGUGUGUGAAUGGUAUACAGUAUGGUGUGUAUGGUACAUGUAGAAGUAGUGAGGUGUAGUAACGCAUGAGGUGAAAAGCGUCUUACACAUGAAUCCGGUGCUCCUCGGUGAAGAGGCGUUGUCCAGCCAGGGCCACGUACAUGAAUCCUGGGUUGGACCAGCUGGGGCCAUCCAAGGUGACCUUGAUGUUGUAGCUGUAUCCUAUCAGACACAAAGUGUCCACAUUGUUGCUCCUUUUAUAAUCGACUCAUUUCAACAAUUCUAGUCGUCAUUUGAGUCAUUGUAAAAGUCGCAGCAUUGAAUACAUGUGAGCUGCUUUCCUGUUUUCAUUGUGUCUAAGUGAGUCUCCAUUCAGUAAAAAGUGUGUGAUUUUUGAACAACUCGUUCAUGGCUAGCGCAUCUUUCAUGGCCUUAAAGGGAAAGCAUGAAAAAAGUCAGAUGGGCAACCAAGCCAACAUUGAAAACACAAAAACCUACGUCCAAAGGGGUCAGAACUUCCUGUGGUAACGAAGUACUUGGAGGUGGUAUUCGUCACAGGUCUCCAAUCCGCCAUGAAGCCCAUCAGAGGACAUAUGUCGUCACCGCAUGGAAAACACUUUCCCUGCAAAGACAAGACAUGGCUAUGCCUCACCUGACCGCACGGCACUGAUGCUGAUACAAAAGCCAUAUCAGAGUGGAUCAUGUGGAUCAGGCUCUACAGACAUAGAACCCCCGUUGCUAAGGUGCUAAGGCGCUAAGGCAAUGCCUACCAUGAGAAACGUCAGCAUGGACGCCACCUGGGCAGCCACCACCCUGCCAUUAUUGGCCGCCUGGGCAUACUGAGUCCUCACACCCUUCUUCCACUCCACGGCGAUGCAGUUGACGUUCUCCUUCUUCACGAUGUCCUGCAGGUAGCAAAGGUAAUGCAGGUAACCAGGAAUGACGAAUCGAGUCCUUCUCAAGCCGCUGUAGUUCGAAGCCUGAAUGGUUUUGUCAGUCUUGAUCUCCUGCAGACGUCAACAAGUCACAUGAUGAAGGGCGGGAUGCCAGGCAGGUGCCUGUUGGAAACAAACCGGCGGCUGUGCGAUGGACCAUGGAUCCCAAAGGAAAAAAAGAGGAGAACAGAGGAUUAAACGUUUCUUGGACCGAAUCAUUUGCAUUCAUUGCAUUCGUCUUACAUGCCCGAUGUUGAGAAGCUGACCAGUCAUGUCCGAAAACAGAAGUUACAUUAAACAGGGUCGCAGUGGGGGUGCUGGAGCCUAUCCCAGCUGUUUUGAGGCGAGAGGCGGGGUACACUCUGGACCGACAAAGCAGACCUUCCGGACCUUCACGACGUGGACUUACCCUGACCCGUGCUUCUGUGAGAUUGGUCCACACGGCAAUCUCCUCCCUGGUGCUCAUGUCAGGGUAGCGGUUCCUCUGGAAGGUGGCCUCCAGCUCCUGGAGCUGCUGGCUGGUGAAGUGAGUCCUCUGCCGCCGCUGCUUCUUCUUCAGCGAGCCGUCGUCGGCCCCCGAUUCAUCCAAGUGGUUCUGCUGGGAUUUCUCCGUGUCUGCGGAGAACCACAGUUGGUCCAACAGCUGAGUUAUUCUUCAGCAUUCAUCCGUUCAGGUCAUGUACUCACAUUCUUUGUCUUCUUCGUCUUUUCUGAGCGCACAAACACGCAGUUUUUAUUCCUUUCAAGCAUAAAAAGAUCACUUUUUUUUUUUUUUUUUACAAGAUACCACAAAAGUAUCCUGUGUAUCCUUAGCGUGUGGAUUUCCCACAUGAAGUAUUUCUAGUGAUAGUGGAUAAACGCAUUGGUGAAGAUGAAAGUUCACACAAGCUAAUCAAUACAUUCAACCUUGGCCAUAAAAUCAUCUUUGGCAUAAUUUUUAUGUCACCUCCUUGACAUAAAUGUCCUGCAAAAAAGGCCAGUAAGGAUAAUUCAUAAUGCCGUUCAUACAGAGAACAUACUAACUCCUUAUUUGUAAAAUCUUAAAUACUUCAACUUACUGAUAUAGUAGUUCAUCUUUAAACAGCUAAAAUAAUGCAUAAGGCUAAAAAUAAGCAAUUAGCUAAAAAUGUCAUCCAAUACUUCUCUACAGGAGAGGAGAAAUAUGAUCUCAGGGAAGAAGUACAUUUGAAACACUUCUAUGCUAGGACUACGUUAUGCUAGCCAUAGCAUUUCAGUAUGUGGAAUCAAACUAUGGAAUGGAUUGAGUAAGGAAAUCAAACAAUGCACAACGAUGAGCCAAUUCAAGAAACAAUCACUAUAUUGACACUUGGCACCCAUUAUGGCAUUGUAAAAUAAAAUAAAAUUAAAUUAAAUUACAUUACAUUACAUUACAUUACAUUACAUUACAUUACAUUACAUUAAAUUAAAUUACAUUAAAUUAAAUUAGGAAAGCAGGAAGUGAACAAAUGUAACAGUUACUGAUUGUAAAAGUACCAGAUGGAGGGGUAGGAUUUAAUAAGCUUUGCUUCUUCCUACUCCUUUUGGACAUGUGGAACUGGGAACUGAUUAUGGGAUGCACUCAAUUGGAAUCUGAUAAAAAUAAAAAUAAACAUAAAAAUAAACAUAAACAUAAAAAUAAACGUAGUUUGGAAAAUAAAUUACCCACAAAAAAUGCCACUUAUGUAUGUUUUUUUUCUAGCUAUUAAUUAAAUUAAAUUAAAUUAAAUUAAAUUAAAUUAAAAUAAAUUAAAUUAAAAAAACAACUUAAAUUAUAUUAGGAAAGCAGGAAGUGAACAAAUGUAAGAGUUAGUGAUUGUAAAAGUACCAGAUGGAGGAACUGAUUAUGGGAUGCACUCAAUUGGAAUCUGAUAAAAAUAAAAAUAAAAAUAAAAAUAAAAAUAAAAAUAAAAAUAAAAAUAAAAAUAAAAAUAAAAAUAAAAAUAAAAAUAAACAUAAACAUAAACAUAAACAUAAACAUAAACAUAAAAAUUUAUGAAAUACAUUUUAAAAAACAAAACUUAAAUUAUAUUAGGAAAGCAGGAAGUGAACAAAUGUAACAGUUAGUGAUUGUAAAAGUACCAGAUGGAGGGGUAGGAUUUAAUAAGCUUUGCUUCUUCCUACUCCUUUUGGACAUGUGGAACUGGGAACUGAUUAUGGGAUGCACUCAAUUGGAAUCUGAAUAAAAUUAAAAUUAAAAUUAAAAUUAAAAUUAAAAUUAAAAUUAAAAUUAAAAUUAAAAUUAAAAUUAAAAUUAAAAUUAAAAUUAAAAUUAAAAUUAAAAUUAAAAUGUUUUUUUAAUUAAAUUAUGAAAGCAGGAAGUGAACAAAUGUAACAGUUACUGAUUGUAAAAGUACCAGAUGUAGGGGUAGGAUUUAAUAAGCUUUGCUUCUUCCUACUUCUUUUGGACAUGACAUAAAAAUAAACAUAAACAUAAACAUAAACAUAAAAAUGUAUGAAAUACAUUUUAAAUAACAAAACUUAAAUUAUAUUAGGAAAGCCGGAAGUGAACAAAUGUAACAGUUAGUGAUUGUAAAAGUACCAGAUGGAGGGGUAGGAUUUAAUAAGCUUUGCUUCUUCCUACUCCUUUUGGACAUGUGGAACUGGGAACUGAUUAUGGGAUGCACUCAAUUGGAAUCUGAUGCAUGUUCAAAUGAAAUUAAACCAUUACCAUCGAUGGCCGAUAAAACACACACCCAACGGCCAUUAGACACCAUUUGGACUCAUCUAGCAAGGAACACGGGAACAUGGAACCCACCAAAGGAACGGUUAGACGGUCGUCUUUCAUCACAAUAAAAAGUUUCUUUCUACAUUUUCGCUUUCUUUAGUAAUCAGCAGUCGAACAUAGGUACGUUUCAGGAAAAUAUCAGCUCCCCACUAAAACGGAGGCACAGAUUAGCGUUUAGAUGAAGCAUGAUGUUCAAAGGUGCGCUUGUAGACGGAGCCCACGUCCACGUGAUGACACAUUUACACGCCCGCAAGCAGAGGACCUCACAGAAAGAAGUGAAAUGAGUCGGCAGCUAAUCCCGUGGAUUAGGUUUUGGGCGGCGGUGGUCCGGGGGCAGGGCGGCUUGUGUUUAGCGAGGGUUUAAGUCUGUGGGAGGACUUCCAAAGAGACUCCACGGGGGCCACCAGCAAAACCAAUAAGAGCCGAGCGGGCUGUUAUCGGCAAGUAAACUGACACUGGCUAAGCUGCCACUUAAGGCCAAAGCAUCAAACACAAUACACAGGAAAGGGCAGCGACGGGCUCGCCACAAUAAGAGCCCUCUGACCGAUAAUGUGCUGACAAAACACAUCUUUUCUAGGCCGGCUUCCCUGAGAACAUUAUUAUGCAAGGCCUUUCAACUCAUAACAUCUAUACACGCAUACACGUAUGCUAUAUAUAGCCGUCCGUGCUUCAUGUUCUAUGCAAGCCUUUCAUAAAAAGGAAGUGGCACGAAACCAGAAAAAAAGAAUGAAUUUAAAAAUAUUAAAAAAUUUAAAAAAAUACUAUCAUUAUACAGUACAAUU